rnacentral:rRNA from 1 species
GACGAACGCUGGCGGCGUGCUUAACACAUGCAAGUCGAGCGGUAAGGCUCCUUCGGGAGUACACGAGCGGCGCACGGGUGAGUAACACGUGAGUAAUCUGCCCUUCACUUCGGGAUAACCACCGGAAACGGUGGCUAAUACCGAAUACGACCAGUCUUCGCAUGAGGUGCUGGUGGAAAGUCUUUUCGGUGAAGGAUGUGCUCGCGGCCUAUCAGCUUGUUGGUGGGGUAAUGGCCUACCAAGGCUUCGACGGGUAGCCGGCCUGAGAGGGUGACCGGCCACACUGGGACUGAGACACGGCCCAGACUCCUACGGGAGGCAGCAGUGGGGAAUAUGGGACAAUGGGCGAAAGCCUGAUCCAGCAACGCCGCGUGAGGGAUGACGGACGUCGGGUUGUAAACCUCUUUCAGUACAGACGAAGCGCCCUGUCGGGUGGUGACGGUAGGUACAGAAGAAGGACCGGCCAACUACGUG